GACAGAGGGUGCAAACGUUGCUCGGAAUUACUGGGCGUAAAGCGCGUGUAGGCGGACCCACAAGUCGGACGUGAAAGCCCUGGGCUCAACCCAGGAACUGCAUCCGAAACUGUGGGCCUGGAGUAGUGGAGAGGGAUGCGGAAUUCCAGGUGUAGCGGUGAAAUGCGUAGAUAUCUGGAGGAACACCGGUGGCGAAGGCGGCAUCCUGGACCGGUAUUGACGCUGAGGCGCGAAAGCCAGGGGAGCAAACGGG
rnacentral:rRNA from 1 species